rnacentral:lncRNA from 1 species
GUUCAAAAAACAAUAACAUGUUUAUUCUAAUAAAAGAGGCUCUUGCAUAACCUCCUGAUGAUUCUGGGUCUGAUUCUCCUUUGUGAGCUAGAAGAGAGAACUUGGCCUCCUUCCUUAUCUGAACCCUCCUUCCCCUUGAGAUAGGCCCCGCAGCUCCGCAGCUCCUGCUCCGUCCUCGGGCUCCUCCCUGCCACGGGCCCUGCAGGUCCCCUGCUAGUGCUGUGGAAGUGGAAGCUGGGUGGGGGGCCUGCAAGGUGUUUCCAAACCCCGAGGCCUCGCCACGGCCCGGCCCCACCCCUCGGCCCUUCUCUCGCUUCCCGUCCCAGCCUGCCAUGAGGGGGCAGGGCGCCGGCCUAACCACAGAGCGCUUCCUCCUUCUGCACAGAGCGGCGAUCGCGGGCCCAGGCAGGCAGUGCCCGCCGUCCGUCCGGGCGCCCCCAUCGCCAGGGCUCCCCCUGCGUCCUUGGCAGCAGCAUGUCGCCCGGGCCGCCCCGCGGGGCUCCCCCUCCGCCAUCCACCGAAGCCGGAGCCGUGGCUGUGAUGGUGCUCCUCCUCCUGCUGGCCCUGACGCCUCCGGGGGAUGCGCAGCCCCCUGGGAGCAGCCAGGCUCCGCGGCGAUGGGGCCCAGCGUCAGACAACCAAGAGCCCUUGGUGGCCCGAGCCAAGAGGUCUGACCUAGACUUUGAAGAGGAUUAUGCCAUCUACGAGACCCCGUCGCCCGAGCUGUUGGACGGAGACAACGCGACCACCCCGGGGCCAGCCGUCGUGGUCGAGGGAACGCAGCCGGAGGCCACGGGGGCCCCUGGAGCCACGGACUCGGUGGAGAUCCCCACCACGGCCCCCGAGGCCCCGGGAACACAGCCGGCUGCUGAGGAGACGACCACCGAGGCCGCAGCAGGGACCAGCCGUCCUCCCCUGACGGGGGAGCCAACUCCGGCUCUGCCCACUGAAGGGCAGCGGGGCCCCCACGACCUCCCGACGGAGAGGGGGACGACGGAGGCGCCUCUCACGGAGGAGGCCCCUUCCACGGCCCUGAGUCCGGGGUCCAGUCCAGGGGUGGUGGGCACGGAUGCGGCGGUGAGCGCUACCACGGAGGAACCAGCCGCAGACCCACGAGGCACAUUCCGGGCUUUGACCUUUGUCACAGAGGAGCCAGAGACCGCCCCGAGUACCGAGCAGCGGCUCACAGACUCUCCGGCCACUGGGGAGCCCCCAGCCUU